ACACUUUGGCAAAGUUGCAGUGGCCUGUUUGCUUAGGCACUGAAGUGGAUGACCCAAGUUAGGAUGACAACUUGCAGAGAACGCGGAUGAGACCUUCAGUUUGUGCCCACACUCAUUUGCAGCAACCCUAACAGAGAUUGCGAAGAUUUUCAAAGUGGGGCACCUCGAUUUCUCGAAUCUGUGGUGUGGCGAAUAUCCGUGUUCCUCCUGCUUAACUAGCCUGUUUGCAUCUUUUGACACAUUUUACUUCCGUAAUUUCGGACUGCCAGAAGGCACAGUUCAUUCUCGAGCAAUUCGUCACCUCCUGGGGGUCUUCUCUUCCCGUCUACAGGAGAGUGUGACUUCAGAAAGAACUUCGGAUUGGCCAAGGCCAUUAAAGCUGGUGAGCGACUUGGAAGUCAUUUAGAAAGGAACAGACCUUCAACCUCAAGCCUUUGCGGGCACUGGGAAAGUGUCUUCCCAAUCAAUCUGGCUUGCAGGCGGCAGGACCAACUCUGACCUGGCUUAUCUUGUACCCAUCCUAAAUACACCAAACUCAAGAGGUAGCCAGGGCCGCCUCAACACCGAGGCAGGUCUGAUUCUAUUUAUUCUAAAGACAGAGUUGGAGAUGGGCUACCAUUGGUGUUGAUUGAGAUGACAAGCAGUCACCUGAGCCCAUACAGCUGGGUUCACAGAUGUGGCUAGUCUUGCUAGCCAGCUCGCACUGUGGACAUUCUAGGGAACUGACUGCAGUCCUCAUGCUUGGAGUCAAACACUUUAACCACUGCACACGUUUAUGUAAUAGGAUUGACAUAUGAGAAUCAGAGAAAUGAAUGAAAGAUUAGAGUGGGAGAAAGUGCUUGCUGCCAAGCUUGAUGACCUAAAUUGAAUACCUGGAACCUACACGACAGAAAGAGAGAGCUGACUGCUGAAAGAUGUCCUCAGAUCUUCACAUGUGCACAGUGGCACCUAUCCAACCAUGCACAUAGUAUAUUAAAAAUUAUUUUUUAAAAAAUCCA
rnacentral:lncRNA from 1 species